UUACACUUAGACGCUGAAAUGGUUGAAGAUUGACUGCACCAAACCAGCGAAUACGAAACGUGACUAGCCGAGUUAUGGAGAGUGUCUGGUAGACACGAGUGACGACCGCGAAUUAACUAGGGCGAAAGUGCUCCGAGAUCGUAAAGUGUCCGAGGUCAUGCGGGAAUUGGAGAUUUAAAUUUUAGGAGUGGUAAAGCUUCACACCGAAAUAUUAAUUCCAGUACCGUCGUGCAGGUCUCGAGUCGAGCGUGAUGUUCCACUACGACUUCCGCCAUUGUGUGCUAAUGAAAAAGCGACAUUUCCUUGUUUGGAAAGAGACCUUGCCCAGAAAGAAGCUGUCUGUAAUGUAUGGAAUAAAUCAAGUCUACUGCUCUACAUGCGCUUUGCUAUUGUUCCAACUGGUAAGAAUGAAGGUUACCACGGAGUUCAUAGUGGGUUCGCUCCUCAAUGGAUCACGAGUUACUUGAGGAUGUAUAAAACGGAAGAAGGAGUUUAUGUUUAAGGAACUAGAAGCUGAGGAGAGGCUCGUAGAAUUUAUGCCAAAGUCGAUUGCUGGGUAAGCACAAGUUGUGGGAUUUAGCAAGCUAAUUGUAUGAAAUCUUGCGGAACAGAAUCAUACCACAAAGGGGUUUCAGCGGAGUCGGCAAUUUCACAACAACUUUUGAAACUGUCUAUGAGGCUGACAGUCAUUCGUUGUGGAAGAAAGGCUGUGGGAAGCGGUUUGAUGAAUUUUUCGAAAAUGUGAACUCCAGCCAAAUCGGUUCAGAUAGGAGUACGGAUAACAGAUUACAACUUGCUUCGGAAUUAGAUGGAUAACGGUGCAAAACUGAACCGAGAAAACGUCACGGGGAUGCCACGAGGGGCAGCAGUUUGACGGAGCGAAUCGCAGUGAAAGUGUGGGAGUCGCGACUGAGUCUGUACUUGCUCAGAGGCGCAAUUUUGCCGUUGUCGUUACCGCGAUUAUCCCAGUCCCUUCAAUUCCUCUCUAGCCUUCGCUCGACUCGAACUUUUACGUGUUGUUCCCCCACUUUUCCUGAAAAGUCUCGACUCCUGAUGUACGGAAUCGCGCGCGAUCGCGGACUCUGUGUUAAACCUUUGUGGAGAAAUUCACAUUCGGACGAUAGUCGCGUUGAUGUGAUUUUUUUUAUCUCUUGUAUACUGAUUCAAUGAAUUUAAAAAAAUUAUACACUAUAGUUGGGGCGAUUCGAAGAGUGGAUUGAAACUUUGAUUUAAAUUGGCAUCGUUGGUACGAUUCUCUCUUCACUGACACAUCGAAUGUAUUCGUUAAUAUUUCGGCUAGCUUUUACCGUAAUUAGCACCCACGAAA